CCAACACUGGCCAACAUCUUCCUCCUUGUUACUGGGCACCGUCUCAGUGAAGGUUGAUCCCUAUCUGUGCCCUUCUUCCAUUUGGACUCUCCUGGUGAAGGCCACAGGUGUUCAGGGUCUCCCAGGAAGUCCCUGGCAAGUGCCAGGUGAUCACCUGGUAAUUCUAGGAACUCGUUCUAGGUUGGGAGCGAACAAUAGAGCGAGGCAGGACUCUGCCUGAUCCUACAAGGCCACGGUGACACUGUCGAAGGGUACCAGAGACUUCCCAAACUCAGAAGAGAGCAUGCUCCUCCCUUGGGACAUGGGCAUUUCCAUGUACUCGCUGCUGCUGCCAUCCCAACGGGUUGCCUCAAGAGUAUCUCCAGGUCCCAGGCUCUCCUAUUUCCCAUCAGUCCCUGCUCUGUCCAGCUGCAGUCAUAUUCUGCUCACAGACAUGAUGGCCCACAGUCCCAGGGGCUGGGAGCUGGGCUCUCAGCUUCUUCAACCUUCUGCAGAAUUCUUGGGGAGAACAGUGACCCUCACCAUGGACAGCUAGAGAAUACGCCGUUUUCCUGGUGUAAGUCCCUACUUAAGACUGGGAGCUAAGCGUGGGAACAAGAAGAGAGAUGAGCGACCACAGUGGGUUUCACUUCAACCAGCAUUUGCGGAACCCUAGCUUUGGGUUAUGCAGAGUGCGCAGCCCUGGGGAGAUGCCAAGAGUAGGCGGGGCACGCCUCUCCACAUCUGAUCUGCGAGGAUGACAUAGGGAAAAGACUGUUCACAGGUGCACCGAGGACCGACCCCAGAGACCAGGCUCCAGCAGGGCUAGCUGUGGGAGGAGGCAAGGUGGAGGGAGCUCCUUUGAGGCC